rnacentral:rRNA from 1 species
UACGUAGGGGGCAAGCGUUGUCCGGAAUCAUUGGGCGUAAAGCGCGUGUAGGCGGUCCGGUAAGUCCGCUGUGAAAGUCGGGGGCUCAACCCUCGGAUGCCGGUGGAUACUGUCGGGCUUAAGUACGGAAGAGGCGAGUGGAAUUCCUGGUGUAGCGGUGAAAUGCGCAGAUAUCAGGAGGAACACCAAUUGCGAAGGCAGCUCGCUGGGACGUUACUGACGCUGAGACGCGAAAGCGUGGGGAGCAAACAGG